AACGCGAAGAACCUUACCUGGGCUCGAACGGCUUUGGAUCGACGGUGGAAACACUGUUUUCCCGCAAGGGACCGGAGUCGAGGUGCUGCAUGGCUGUCGUCAGCUCGUGUCGUGAGAUGUUGGGUUAAGUCCCGCAACGAGCGCAACCCUUGUCCUGUGUUGCCACUCCGUAAGGAAGCACUCUCAGGAGACCGCCAGCGAUAAGUUGGAGGAAGGUGGGGAUGAUGUCAAGUCAUCAUGGCCUUUAUGUCCAGGGCUACACACGUGCUACAAUGGUCGGUACAAAGCGCUGCAAACCCGCGAGGGGGAGCUAAUCGCAAAAAGCCGGCCUCAGUUCGGAUUGCAGGCUGCAACUCGCCUGCAUGAAGCUGGAAUCGCUAGUAAUGCCGUAUCAGAACGAUGGCGUGAAUACGUUCCCGGGCCUUGUACACACCGGCUAC
rnacentral:rRNA from 1 species